ACACACACACACACACACACACACUAAAGAGCAAGCACGUCCAGUUAAGAUACAAUGACAAAGAAAUGGUGGUUAGAGAUAUAUAGUUUAAAAAUAUGCAAGGGGUUCAAAUUCAAUACAAUUAUAGUGUCCAGUAUUAAGGGUAGAUAGUUUCCUCCAUAGUCUACCUUGCAGAAACUCAGACAUGCAUAAGGCCUUUUCCUUCCAGCUGUAGGUGAUCUGAGCACUGUUCAGGUUUGCUAGAAGUGGUCUUUUAAAACUCAGACUUGCAGAAACUCAGACAUGCAUAAGGCCUUUUCCUUCCAGCUGUAGGUGAUCUGAGCACUGUUCAGGUUUGCUAGAAGUGGUCUUUUAAAACUCAGACUUGCAGAAACUCAGACAUGCAUAAGGCCUUUUCCUUCCAGCUGUAGGUGAUCUGAGCACUGUUCAGGUUUGCUAGAAGUGGUCUUUUAAAACUCAGACUUGCAGAAACUCAGACAUGCAUAAGGCCUUUUCCUUCCAGCUGUAGGUGAUCUGAGCACUGUUCAGGUUUGCUAGAAGUGGUC